GAAUCAACGCUGGCGGCGCGCUUAACACAUGCAAGUCGAACGAGAAAGGGUAGCAAUACCUGAGUAAAGUGGCGUACGGGUGAGUAACACGUGGAUGAUCUACCUCUUGGCGGGGAAUACCUCUGGGAAACCGGAGACAAUACCGCAUAAGCUCGGAAGAGGAAACCCGCAAGGGGCCGAGAGAGGAGUCCGCGGCCGAUUAGCUAGUUGGUGAGGUAAAGGCUCACCAAGGCGAAGAUCGGUAGCCGGCCUGAGAGGGCACACGGCCACACUGGCACUGAGACACGGGCCAGACUCCUACGGGAGGCAGCAGUGGGGAAUCUUGCACAAUGGGGGAAACCCUGAUGCAGCGACGCCGCGUGAGCGAUGAAGCCCUUCGGGGUGUAAAGCUCUUUCGACGGGAACGAUAAUGACGGUACCCGGAGAAGAAGCUGCGGCUAACUACGUGCCAGCAGCCGCGGUAAUACGUAGGCAGCAAGCGUUGUUCGGAGUUACUGGGCGUAAAGAGUGCGUAGGCGGUGCCCUAAGUCUGUUGUGAAAUCUCCCGGCUUAACUGGGAGGGUGCGGUGGAAACUGGGGUGCUUGAGAGUGGGAGAGGUUAGCGGAAUUCCUGGUGUAGCGGUGAAAUGCGUAGAUAUCAGGAGGAACACCGGUGGUGUAGACGGCUGACUGGACCACGACUGACGCUGAGGCACGAAAGCGUGGGUAGCAAACAGGAUUAGAUACCCUGGUAGUCCACGCCCUAAACGAUGCAUACUUGGUGUGAGCCAUUCAUUUGGUUCGUGCCGGAGCUAACGCGUUAAGUAUGCCGCCUGGGGAGUACGGUCGCAAGGCUGAAACU
rnacentral:rRNA from 1 species